AACGACUCUCGGCAACGGAUAUCUCGGCUCUCGCAUCGAUGAAGAACGUAGCGAAAUGCGAUACUUGGUGUGAAUUGCAGAAUCCCGUGAACCAUCGAGUCUUUGAACGCAAGUUGCGCCCGACGCCUUCGGGCUGAGGGCACGCCUGCCUGGGCGUCAC
rnacentral:rRNA from 1 species